CGCGGCCUAUCAGCUUGUUGGUGAGGUAACGGCUCACCAAGGCAACGACGGGUAGCUGGUCUGAGAGGACGAUCAGCCACACUGGGACUGAGACACGGCCCAGACUCCUACGGGAGGCAGCAGCAGGGAAUAUUGCACAAUGGGCGCAAGCCUGAUGCAGCGACGCCGCGUGAGGGAUGAAGGCCUUCGGGUUGUAAACCUCUUUCAGGAGGGACGAAGCGAGAGUGACGGUACCUCCAGAAGAAGCCCCGGCCAACUACGUGCCAGCAGCCGCGGUAAUACGUAGGGGGCGAGCGUUGUCCGGAUUCAUUGGGCGUAAAGAGCUCGUAGGCGGCUCAGUAAGUCGGCCGUGAAAGCCCGGGGCUCAACCCUGGGACGCCGGUCGAUACUGCUGUGGCUAGGGUCCGGUAGAGGAGAGUGGAAUUCCCGGUGUAGCGGUGAAAUGCGCAGAUAUCGGGAGGAACACCAGUAGCGAAGGCGGCUCUCUGGGCCGGUACCGACGCUGAGGAGCGAAAGCUAGGGGAGCAAACAGGAUUAGAUACCCUGGUAGUCCUAGCCGUAAACGUUGGGCACUAGGUGUGGCGGACUCAUUGACGUCUGCCGUGCCGCAGCUAACGCAUUAAGUGCCCCGCCUGGGGAGUACGG
rnacentral:rRNA from 1 species